CGGGGUUAUUUGUAGGAGUCAGAAAUCAUAUAACAGAUUGACCGAGAUGUGAUGCACACUCAUCCAGACAUGCACUUUUUCUCUGGGGACUCGCAGCUUGCAAAAUCUAAUCAGGAUGCAAUGAGAAACAUAUUUAAUCGUAUUUUCCAAGUUAAACCCGGGCAUAAGAUAUGUUCAAGGAAUGAAUGAAAUCUUGGCACCUCUAUUUUAUGUAUUCAAGAAUGACCCUGAUGCGGAAAUGGCGGUUGCUGCCGAAGCCGACACAUUCUUUUGUUUUGUUGAGCUAUUGAGUGGAUUCUGUGAUCAUUUCUGACAGCAACUUGACAACAACAAU